rnacentral:rRNA from 1 species
AGCUAACGCGUUAAGUCGACCGCCUGGGGAGUACGGCCGCAAGGUUAAAACUCAAAUGAAUUGACGGGGGCCCGCACAAGCGGUGGAGCAUGUGGUUUAAUUCGAUGCAACGCGAAGAACCUUACCUACUCUUGACAUCCAGAGAACUUUCCAGAGAUGGAUUGGUGCCUUCGGGAACUCUGAGACAGGUGCUGCAUGGCUGUCGUCAGCUCGUGUUGUGAAAUGUUGGGUUAAGUCCCGCAACGAGCGCAACCCUUAUCCUUUGUUGCCAGCGGUCCGGCCGGGAACUCAAAGGAGACUGCCAGUGAUAAACUGGAGGAAGGUGGGGAUGACGUCAAGUCAUCAUGGCCCUUACGAGUAGGGCUACACACGUGCUACAAUGGCGCAUACCAAGAGAAGCGACCUCGCGAGAGCAAGCGGACCUCAUAAAGUGCGUCGUAGUCCGGAUUGGAGUCUGCGGCUCGACUCCAUGAAGUCGGAAUCGCUAGUAAUCCUAGAUCAGAGUGCUGCCGUGAAUACGUUCCCGGGCCUUGUA